UCCAGUUGAUACGGAUGAGAUUAGGCC
rnacentral:sRNA from 1 species